UGGAUUUCCUAAUAAACACCAGAUCAGACUCACGACCUGCAAUCUCUCAUCUUCAUCUUCAACCCCAAUUUUCAGUUUUUGUUCUUCCACCUCAGUUUUGACGAUGAAAUCCUAAGCUCUGUUCUCAAGUAACUAUCUCUCUUCAGCUUUUGUUCUUCCACCUCAGUUUUGACGAUGAAAUCCUAAGCUCUGUUAUCAAGAUUUGCAACAUGAGCAAAUGGACAAUGACUUGGCGGAUUUAGAGGAUGAAAUGGCUCAUGGUGCAUUGGUGACUUGGCUCAAUAUAAAAUCCUAUUCGAUCUGUGAUCUUCGAUUUUGAGAUUCGGUUUGGUUGUGUUUUGGUUUGAGCUGUGGUUACAAAUCUGUGAUAUUUGAUUCGGUUAUCAUAUUAAUUGAGGUAUGUUUUUUCAAUUGAA